GAGGGUAUAGCUCAGUGGUAGAGUGAAUGCUUAGCAUGCACGAAGUCCUGGGUUCAUUCCCCAGAACCUCCA
rfam:Camelus ferus unplaced genomic scaffold scaffold394, whole genome shotgun sequence.